rnacentral:lncRNA from 1 species
UUGUUCACUGUGACAUAAAGCCUGAGAACAUAUUGUUGGAUGAGAACUACACUGCCAAAGUAUCAGAUUUUGGCCUAGCCAAGCUCGUUAACCCAAAGGACCACAGGCAUAGAACCUUGACAAGUCAUGUGAGGGGUACUAGAGGAUACCUGGCUCCAGAGUGGCUGGCCAAUCUUCCUAUAACAUCCAAAUCGGAUGUGUUCAGUUACGGUAUGGUGUUACUAGAAAUAGUGAGUGGAAAAAGGAAUUUCGAAGUCUCAGAAACAAGUCAUGUGAGGGGUACUAGAGGAUACUUGGCUCCAGAGUGGCUGGCCAAUCUUCCUAUAACAUCCAAAUCGGAUGUGUACAGUUAUGGUAUGGUGUUACUGGAAAUAGUGAGUGGAAAAAGGAAUUUCGAAGUCUCAGAAGAGACUAGCCGGAAAAAGUACUCUUCG